ACCGGGCCACGCAACGAUGAACAUGUGGCAAUAAACGUCACUCGCUCCUAGAAAACUUGUCUGCUCCUUCUUUCGCAUGAACCGACGCUGACACAACAACUGGCGACGAACGUGCGACCUGAAGCCGUCGUUCUUCAAUUUGGAAGGCAAGUUUCCACCUGGCGUCGUCACAAGGACCAGCUGCUCGGGCAUACCACAAAUCCAGACCGCGAGGCAUCGGACCAGGGGGGAUCAGACUUCCUGGUGGUUCAGCCAAGCGUGGACCCAGUGACAUCCUCCGCUCCUACCACGAGUGGUCCUGACGUUUCGCACGAGAUUCAGACGGCGGAAGCAAUACGCUAGCCGACGAGAAACCGUCGACAACCUGAGAAAUAUCAAGCUGGAGUUUAGCUUGUUAGAGUCGCCAAUAUAAAAGGGGAGGGAUGUGGUGUCCGGCCGAGCGCCGCAUUUGAUGAAGUCGAUAAUGCGCAGGCGCGCGAAACAAAUAAAAAGCAUGCGCCGCAUCUUGCCGGCGCUUAUCGGGACCGGGCCACGCAACGAUGAACAUGUGGCAGUAAACGUCACUCGCUCCUAGAAAA